rnacentral:rRNA from 1 species
CGAUAUCGACGAGUUGAUCCUGGCUCAGAGCGAACGCUGGCGGCAGGCCUAACACAUGCAAGUCGAACGAACCCUUCGGGGUUAGUGGCGGACGGGUGAGUAACACGUGGGAACGUGCCUUUAGGUUCGGAAUAACUCAGGGAAACUUGUGCUAAUACCGAAUGUGCCCUUCGGGGAAAGGAUUUAUCGCCUUUAGAGCGGCCCGCGUCUGAUUAGCUAGUUGGUGAGGUAAAGGCUCACCAAGGCUACGAUCAGUAGCUGGUCUGAGAGGAUGACCAGCCACAUUGGGACUGAGACACGGCCCAAACUCCUACGGGAGGCAGCAGUGGGGAAUCUUGCGCAAUGGGCGAAAGCCUGACGCAGCCAUGCCGCGUGGAUGAUGAAGGUCUUAGGAUUGUAAAAUCCUUUCACCGGUGAAGAUAAUGACUGUAGCCGGAGAAGAAGCCCCGGCUAACUUCGUG